GGGAGACAUAGCCCGGAGAUGGAUUCUGAGACACGAAUCCAGACCCUACGGGGUGCAGCAGGCGCGAAAACUUGGCAAUGCGAGCAAUCGUGACCAGGGAACUCCAAGUGGCUGGGGUAAUACCCAGUUUUUUCUUGACUCUUCAAAGGUCUUGGAAUAAGGGGUGGGUAAGGACGGUGCCAGCCGCCGCGGUAAUACCGGCGCCUCAAGUGGUAGUCGCUUUUAUUGGGCCUAAAACGUCCGUAGCCGGUCUGGUGCAUUCGUGGGUAAAUCAACCCGCUCAACGGGUUGAAUUCUGCGAGCACGGCCUGACUUGGGACCGGGAGAGGUGUGGGGUACUCUCAGGGUAGGGGUAAAAUCCUGUCAUCCUGAGAGGACCACCUGUUGCGAAGGCGCCACACUAGAACGGAUCCGACGGUCAGGGACGAAACCUAGGGGCACGAACCGGAUUAGAUACCCGGGUAGUCCUAGGUGUAAACGCUGUGGACUUGAUGUUGGGGGCGCUCCGAGCGCUCUCAGUGUCGAAGCGAAGGUGAUAAGUCCACUGCCUGGGGAGUACGGUCGCAAGGCUGAAACUUAAAGGAAUUGGCGGGGGAGCACUGCAACCUGAGGAUUGUGCGGUUUAAUUGGACUCAACGCCGGGA
rnacentral:rRNA from 1 species